rnacentral:rRNA from 1 species
GUGAGGAAUAUUGGUCAAUGGGCGGGAGCCUGAACCAGCCAAGUCGCGUGAAGGAAGAAGGAUCUAUGGUUCGUAAACUUCUUUUGCAGGGGAAUAAAGUGCAGGACGUGUCCUGUUUUGUAUGUACCCUGAGAAUAAGGAUCGGCUAACUCCGUGCCAGCAGCCGCGGUAAUACGGAGGAUCCGAGCGUUAUCCGGAUUUAUUGGGUUUAAAGGGUGCGUAGGUGGGUUGAUAAGUCAGCGGUGAAAGUUUGCAGCUUAACUGUAAAAAUGCCGUUGAAACUGUCGGACUUGAGUGUAAAUGAGGUAGGCGGAAUGCGUGGUGUAGCGGUGAAAUGCAUAGAUAUCACGCAGAACUCCGAUUGCGAAGGCAGCUUACUAAGCUACAACUGACACUGAAGCACGAAAGCGUGGGGAUCAAACAGGAUUAGAAACCCCUGUAGUCC